rnacentral:sRNA from 1 species
CAAUUCAAGGUGGCAAUAAUUCACCUAUUUUGCCCUGCUUUUUUCUGCCCAACUCUAAUUAUGUCCUUUGCUAUCUGAGGCAUGGUUUCUGAAUGAGAAAUAUAUCUCUGCAUUUCCAGAAUAAAGUUAGGAAAGAGGAAGAUGCGGUAUAACUGUUCUUUUUUGUGCUCUGUAGAUAUGCAAAGCCUAGAGAAGCUAUUGAAAGAUGCCAUUGUUUAUGGUCAGCCUCGGACACGAAGGCCCUGGAAGAAAAUUCUCAUCCUUGUGGAAGGAAUAUAUAGCAUGGAGGGAUCUAUUGUUCGUCUUCCUGAAGUGAUUGCCCUCAAGAAGAAAUACAAGGCAUACUUGUAUCUGGAUGAGGCUCACAGCAUUGGCGCCCUGGGCCCCACAGGCCGGGGUGUGGUGGAGUACUUUGGCCUGGAUCCCGAGGAUGUGGAUGUUAUGAUGGGAACGUUCACAAAGAGUUUUGGUGCUUCUGGAGGAUAUAUUGGAGGCAAGAAGGAGCUGAUAGACUACCUGCGAACACAUUCUCAUAGUGCAGUGUAUGCCACGUCAUUGUCACCUCCUGUAGUGGAGCAGAUCAUCACCUCCAUGAAGUGCAUCA